rnacentral:tRNA from 1 species
AGAGGCUUAGGCUAGAACCUUAGACCAAGGGCCUUCAAAGCCCUAAGCGGGAGUGAGAACCUCCCAGCCCCUG